AUGGAAGAAGUCGCUCUGUAUGGACACAGUGUCUGCAACUAUAAGGGCUAUGCAAUGGGAGUUUCGCUCUCGCCAAAAAAAUCUGGCAAUAUCUAUAGAAAUUCAUUUGCACUGGAUGAUUCGGUGGAAGCAACUACAUACAGUGAAGAUUUCUGCUGGAAGCCUGUGUCAAAGACAGCUUGCAUAAGGUCUGCCACAGCAUCAGGAAACCGAAGGUACAAUCCACACCCAAGCCAGGCGUUCAUGGUAUGGAGGCAUUCUGCAGAUCAAAUGAAAUGUUUUAGUGGUAGUUCCCCUCUUCAGCUCCCUUUGACUGAGAAGGAAAUCUAAAAGGCUGUAAGUGCCCAGUACAGGUCGACCUACAGGACUGACUUUCUUGGAUUACCUCAAGGUGAAUUUUAGGAAUUAUUGCACAGACAAUUGUUUAUACAUUUCAAAGCCAUUUGAAUCUUAUUUAAUAUCAAGGUCUUGUGAUUCCAAAGAUUAUUAUAUGUCAUGUUAUAACAACUUUUUAUGUUCUGUCUAAAUCACAGGAAUUAUGAAAAACCAUGCGACCUUUGCACCUUGUAACCGCAGCCAUGCUGUCCACUACUAUACCUAGACUGAAAUAAGACAUAACUACCACCCACCCAAACUGAAACUUGAGCUUCUGGGGAACAACUCUCACUAUGGGUGCAAUAAGCUGCAUGGUGUAGCAGCGAGGGGUAUUGGUAAGCUUCUACUAAACUGUUACGUUUCUGUUUGUGUGCAUUGGGGAUGAAAGACCAAACUACUUUGUUUGAAACUGAUGUGACAGCCAUCCCCUGCAGUAGUCUAGACACAAUGUAAUCACAAAGGAGUAGACUGGACACACAAUGAUCAGAUUUAAAGGAAUAGUUUGGAGAAAUUCAGCAUUACAUCACUUGCUCACCAAUGGAUUCUCUGCGGUGAAUGAGUGCUGUCAGAAUGAGAGUCCAAACAGCUGAUAAAAACAUCACAAUAAUCCUUAAUAUGAUUAAAAAUCAGGCAGUUAGUGAAGUGACAUACAGCCCAGUAUGGUGACCCAUACUCAAAAUUCGUGCUCUGCAUUUAACCGAUCCAAAGUGCACACACACACAGCAGUGAACACACACACACACACACACAGUGAACAGCCAUUUAUGUUGCGGCGCCCGGGGAGCAGUUGGGGGUUCGGUGCCUUGCUCAAGGGCACCUCAGUCGUGGUAUUGCCGGCCCGAGACUCAAACCCACAACCUUAGGGUUAGGAGUCAAACUCUCUAAUCAUUAGGCUAAGACGUCCACUUAGUUAACAAUUACAAAGAAACUCCUGAUAAUUAUUAAUUUAUUGCUAACAAAACACUAAUAUAAAAGUUUGGUACACACAUGAAAGAAGAAUAACACGGUUUCCUUUUACAUUUUAGUUCCGCCUAAAAUGUUAGAAUACUUUUAGGUUUAAGUGCAUAAAAUGACAUUUUGUAUAAUUUUUUUACUCCUUAUUUUAAGAUUUAAUUCUAAAACAAAUUAGAUUGGUAAUAGCAAGAGUUGUGAUAUUUCAUUGGAGUAUCCUACUGUGAUCUUGCUUGAGAAACAAAUUGACAUAAAUAUAAUUCCUAAAGUGUAGAAUUUUAUUGUGUUAAAUAUGAUUUUUUUAUUUGAACUUUUACCAGAAAAUAAGGAUGUGAAGACAUUGCACAUAACCAGCCACUCUGCUGAUGGGUGUAAGGUGGAGAAGAACAAAGGUUUAUUGGUGCAAACCCCUUCCACACUUGAGAGGAUGUCAGCCUGGCCUGGACCUUUAUAAAAAUGCCAUUUCGAACCAUGAAAAGCUGUAUGAAUAUGUGUGCAUUUUUUAGGCUUCUGAUUUUCUUCCAAAAGAAAGUGCACUGCUUCUUUUUUGAAAUGGCCUUUAUGCAUCUUCGAAUGGUGUGCUUAAUAAAACACUGAAAGUAAACUGAUAAUAGAAAUACACAUUUUUUUACUAUACGCGGUUCAUUUUUCUGAGAUUUGUUCAAGCCUCAUUUGGCAAAAACAGAUGCAUAAAAU
ensembl:lncRNA